rnacentral:rRNA from 1 species
GAUGAACGCUGGCGGCGUGCCUAAUACAUGCAAGUCGAGCGAACAGAUGAGGAGCUUGCUCCUCUGACGUUAGCGGCGGACGGGUGAGUAACACGUGGAUAACCUACCUAUAAGACUGGGAUAACUUCGGGAAACCGGAGCUAAUACCGGAUAAUAUAUUGAACCGCAUGGUUCAAUAGUGAAAGACGGUUUUGCUGUCACUUAUAGAUGGAUCCGCGCCGCAUUAGCUAGUUGGUAAGGUAACGGCUUACCAAGGCAACGAUGCGUAGCCGACCUGAGAGGGUGAUCGGCCACACGGGAACUGAGACACGGUCCAGACUCCUACGGGAGGCAGCAGUAGGGAAUCUGCCGCAAUGGGCGAAAGCCUGACGGAGCAACGCCGCGUGAGUGAUGAAGGUCUUCGGAUCGUAAAACUCUGUUAUUAGGGAAGAACAAAUGUGUAAGUAACUAUGCACGGCUUGACGGUACCUAAUCAGAAAGCCACGGCUAACUACGUG